UAUGGAAGCAAAUGUGCAUGAUCUGUGACGUCCCUUCAUCCAUGACUGUCUCCUCCUCCUCCUCCUCCUCCUCCUCCUCCUCCUCCUCUGUGGUGGGGCGGUUCCAGGGGCGACUCAGGUUAAGCUGGUUGGUUAGGUUUUGUCUGCAUAGAGGUAGUGCCCCUUGUCUGGCAGAGCGGAAGUUAGGUUAGGUUAGGUUAGGUUGCGUUAAGUUAGGUUAGGUUAGGUUAGGUUACGUUAAGUUAGGUUAGGUUAAGUUAGGUAGAGAGAGAGAGAGAGAGAGAGAGAGAGAGAGAGAGAGAGAGAGAGAGAGAGAGAGAGAGAGAGAGAGAGAGAGAGAGAGAGAGAGAGAGAGAGAGAGAGAGAGAGAGAGAGAGAGAGAGAGAGAGAGAGAGAGAGAGAUAGAAA